rnacentral:misc_RNA from 1 species
ACACCUCAACUCUCAUGGCUUGCCAUGAUGAGCUUGGACCAUGGGGGUCUUGCUGGCCUGUGGGUCGGCUCCUCUCAAAUGAAUCAGCUUUCCAGUGUUUGGUGGCAUCGCAGGUGUGAUAACUAUCUACGCUUGUGAUUUUCUGCCAGGGUAACCUUCAGCAAUGGAGGUUCUCUGGAGCUCACAAAUGUCUUUCCUCAGCGAAGACAGCUCUUGAUU